UACGAAGGGUGCAAGCGUUAAUCGGAAUUACUGGGCGUAAAGGGUGCGUAGGCGGUUCGUUAAGUCUGUCGUGAAAGCCCCGGGCUCAACCUGGGAAUUGCGAUGGAGACUGCAAGGCUUGAAUCUGGCAGAGGGGGGUAGAAUUCCACGUGUAGCAGUGAAAUGCGUAGAGAUGUGGAGGAACACCGAUGGCGAAGGCAGCCCCCUGGGUCAAGAUUGACGCUCAUGCACGAAAGCGUGGGGAGCAAACAGG
rnacentral:rRNA from 1 species